AGAGACAGCAGUAGCCGCGGUAAUACGUAGGUCCCGAGCGUUGUCCGGAUUUAUUGGGCGUAAAGCGCGCGCAGGCGGCUUCCCAAGUCCCUCUUAAAAGUGCGGGGCUUAACCCCGUGAUGGGAAGGAAACUGGGAAGCUGGAGUAUCGGAGAGGAAAGUGGAAUUCCUAGUGUAGCGGUGAAAUGCGUAGAUAUUAGGAAGAACACCAGUGGCGAAGGCGACUUUCUGGACGAAAACUGACGCUGAGGCGCGAAAGCCAGGGGAGCGAACGGGAUUAGAUACCCGAGUAGUCCCUGUCUCUUAUACA
rnacentral:rRNA from 1 species